rnacentral:rRNA from 1 species
UACGUAGGGUGCAAGCGUUAAUCGGAAUUACUGGGCGUAAAGCGUGCGCAGGCGGUUUUGUAAGACAGAUGUGAAAUGCCCGGGCUUAACCUGGGAACUGCAUUUGUGACUGCAAGGCUAGAAUCUGGCAGAGGGGGGUAGAAUUCCACGUGUAGCAGUGAAAUGCGUAGAUAUGUGGAGGAAUACCGAUGGCGAAGGCAGCUCGCUGGGACGGUACUGACGCUGAGACGCGAAAGCGUGGGGAGCGAACAGG